rnacentral:rRNA from 1 species
UACGUAGGUGGCGAGCGUUGUCCGGAAUUACUGGGUGUAAAGGGCGUGUAGGCGGGAUUGCAAGUCAGAUGUGAAAUUCCAGAGCUUAACUCUGGCGCUGCAUCUGAAACUGUGAUUCUUGAGUGCUGGAGAGGAAAGCGGUAUUCCUAGUGUAGCGGUGAAAUGCGUAGAUAUUAGGAGGAACACCAGUGGCGAAGGCGGCUUUCUGGACAGUAACUGACGCUGAGGCGCGAAAGCGUGGGGAGCAAACAGG